rnacentral:tRNA from 1 species
GGGGUUGUGGCUCAGGGGUAGAGCGUUUGCCUCACGGGCAUGAGACACUGGGUUCAAUCCUCAGCACCACA